UACGUAGGGUGCGAGCGUUGUCCGGAAUUAUUGGGCGUAAAGAGCUCGUAGGCGGUUUGUCGCGUCGGCCGUGAAAUCUCCACGCUUAACGUGGAGCGUGCGGUCGAUACGGGCAGACUUGAGUUCGGUAGGGGAGAGUGGAAUUCCUGGUGUAGCGGUGAAAUGCGCAGAUAUCAGGAGGAACACCGGUGGCGAAGGCGGGUCUCUGGGCCGAUACUGACGCUGAGGAGCGAAAGCGUGGGGAGCGAACAGG
rnacentral:rRNA from 1 species